rnacentral:rRNA from 1 species
UACGUAGGGGGCUAGCGUUGUCCGGAUUUAUUGGGCGUAAAGAGCGUGUAGGCGGUUCGGUAAGUCUGCCGUGAAAACCCGGGGCUCAACCCUGGGCGUGCGGUGGAUACUGCCGGGCUAGAGGGUGGUAGAGGCGAGUGGAAUUCCCGGUGUAGCGGUGAAAUGCGCAGAUAUCGGGAGGAACACCAGUAGCGAAGGCGGCUCGCUGGGCCAUUCCUGACGCUGAGACGCGAAAGCUAGGGGAGCGAACAGG